GAUGAACGCUGGCGGCGUGCUUAACACAUGCAAGUCGAACGAUGAAGCCCAGCUUGCUGGGUGGAUUAGUGGCGAACGGGUGAGUAACACGUGAGUAACCUGCCCUUAACUCUGGGAUAAGCCUGGGAAACUGGGUCUAAUACCGGAUAGGAGCGUCCACCGCAUGGUGGGUGUUGGAAAGAUUUAUCGGUUUUGGAUGGACUCGCGGCCUAUCAGCUUGUUGGUGAGGUAAUGGCUCACCAAGGCGACGACGGGUAGCCGGCCUGAGAGGGUGACCGGCCGCACUGGGACUGAGACACGGCCCAGACUCCUACGGGAGGCAGCAGUGGGGAAUAUUGCACAAUGGGCGCAAGCCUGAUGCAGCGACGCCGCGUGAGGGAUGACGGCCUUCGGGUUGUAAACCUAUUUCAGUAGGGAAGAAGCGAAAGUGACGGUACCUGCAGAAGAAGCACCGGCUAACUACGUG
rnacentral:rRNA from 1 species